UGAGGCGUGGCUUCCGGAGCUAACGCGUUAAGUCGACCGCCUGGGGAGUACGGCCGCAAGGUUAAAACUCAAAUGAAUUGACGGGGGCCCGCACAAGCGGUGGAGCAUGUGGUUUAAUUCGAUGCAACGCGAAGAACCUUACCUACUCUUGACAUCCAGAGAACUUUCCAGAGAUGGAUUGGUGCCUUCGGGAACUCUGAGACAGGUGCUGCAUGGCUGUCGUCAGCUCGUGUUGUGAAAUGUUGGGUUAAGUCCCGCAACGAGCGCAACCCUUAUCCUUUGUUGCCAGCGGUUAGGCCGGGAACUCAAAGGAGACUGCCAGUGAUAAACUGGAGGAAGGUGGGGAUGACGUCAAGUCAUCAUGGCCCUUACGAGUAGGGCUACACACGUGCUACAAUGGCGCAUACAAAGAGAAGCGACCUCGCGAGAGCAAGCGGACCUCAUAAAGUGCGUCGUAGUCCGGAUUGGAGUCUGCAACUCGACUCCAUGAAGUCGGAUCGCUAGUAAUCGUAGAUCAGAAUGCUACGGUGAAUACGUUCCCGGGCCUUGUACACACCGCCCGUCACACCAUGGGAGUGG
rnacentral:rRNA from 1 species